rnacentral:rRNA from 1 species
UACGGGGGGGGGCAAGCGUUGUUCGGAAUUACUGGGCGUAAAGGGCUCGUAGGCGGCCAACUAAGUCAGACGUGAAAUCCCCAGGCUCAACCUGGGAACUGCGUCUGAUACUGGAUGGCUUGAAUCCGGGAGAGGGAUGCAGAAUUCCAGGUGUAGCGGUGAAAUGCGUAGAUAUCGGAAGGAACAUCAGUGGCGAAAGCGACUUCCUGGACCAAUACUGACGCUCAUGUGCGAAAAGCGUGGGGGAGCAAACAGGGAUUAAGAA